rnacentral:rRNA from 1 species
GAUGAACGCUGGCGGCGUGCCUAAUACAUGCAAGUCGAGCGAACAGACGAGGAGCUUGCUCCUCUGACGUUAUCGGCGGACGGGUGAGUAACACGUGGAUAACCUACCUAUAAGACUGGGAUAACUUCGGGAAACCGGAGCUAAUACCGGAUAAUAUAUUGAACCGCAUUGUUCAAUAGUUAAAUACGGUUUUGCUGUCACUUAUAGAUGGACCCGCCCCGCAUUAGCUAGUUGGUAAGGUAACGGCUUACCAAGGCUACGAUGCGUAGCCGACCUGAGAGGGUCAUCCGCCAGACUGGAUGUGAGACACGGUCCAGACUCCUACGGGAGGAAGCAGUCGGGAAUCUUACGCAAUGGGCGAGAGCCUGACAGAGCAAAGCCGCGUGAGUGAUGAUGGUCUUAGGAUCGUAGAGCUCUGUUAUUAGGGAAGAACAAAUGUGUAAGUAACUAGGAACGUAUUGACGGUACCGAAACAGAAAGCCACGGCUAACUACGUG